rnacentral:rRNA from 1 species
ACGGGUGAGUAAUACAUCGGAACGUAUCCUGGAGUGGGGGAUAGCCCGGCGAAAGCCGGAUUAAUACCGCAUACGCUCUGAGGAGGAAAGCGGGGGACCUUCGGGCCUCGCGCUCAAGGGGCGGCCGAUGGCGGAUUAGGUAGUUGGUGGGGUAAAGGCCUACCAAGCCGACGAUCCGUAGCUGGUCUGAGAGGACGACCAGCCACACUGGGACUGAGACACGGCCCAGACUCCUACGGGAGGCAGCAGUGGGGAAUUUUGGACAAUGGGGGCAACCCUGAUCCAGCAAUGCCGCGUGUGUGAAGAAGGCCUUCGGGUUGUAAAGCACUUUUGUCCGGAAAGAAAUCAUCGGGGCCAAUACCCCUGGUGGAUGACGGUACCGGAAGAAUAAGCACCGGCUAACUACGUGCCAGCAGCCGCGGUAAUACGUAGGGUGCGAGCGUUAAUCGGAAUUACUGGGCGUAAAGCGUGCGCAGGCGGUGCUGUAAGACCGAUGUGAAAUCUCCGGGCUUAACCUGGGAACUGCAUUGGUGACUGCAGCGCUGGAGUAUGGCAGAGGGGGGUGGAAUUCCACGU